rnacentral:ncRNA from 2 species
GUUAUAGUCAAAGGGAGCUGUGAGUUACGGCUGAGAGGGAAUGGUUCGAUUCCGACCUUCUGACCUGAUCCGGAUAAUACCGGCGAAGGGAUUGACGGUUCGUCACUGU